rnacentral:rRNA from 1 species
CGAACGCUGGCGGCAUGCCUAACACAUGCAAGUCGAACGAAGCCUUCGGGCUAGUGGCGCACGGGUGCGUAACGCGUGGGAACCUGCCCCUUGGUUCGGAAUACAGUUGAAAUGACUGCUAAUACCGGAUGAUGACGGAAGUCCAAAGAUUUAUCGCCGAGGGAUGGGCCCGCGUAGGAUUAGCUAGUUGGUGAGGUAAUGGCUCACCAAGGCGACGAUCCUUAGCUGGUCUGAGAGGAUGAUCAGCCACACUGGGACUGAGACACGGCCCAGACUCCUACGGGAGGCAGCAGUGGGGAAUAUUGGACAAUGGGCGAAAGCCUGAUCCAGCAAUGCCGCGUGAGUGAUGAAGGCCUUAGGGUUGUAAAGCUCUUUUACCAGGGAUGAUAAUGACAGUACCUGGAGAAUAAGCUCCGGCUAACUCCGUG